AUAAAGAUGCCGCAUGCAUUUUAUCGACAGAUUGCAUAGACAACUUAAAAUGUUCAAAUGGUAUUUGUGUAUGCAAUCUAGAUAAGGCCUACUGGGAUGGAAUCGCUUGCAUAAAACGGCCAUCUGAAUGUGAAGAUCUAAAUCAUACAGUUGAUGGUGUUUAUCCUGUUUAUCCUGGAGGAAACACAAGACGAUUUUACGUAUAUUGUAUCAUGCGCAAUAGCAAGAAAUGGACUGUUAUUCAGAGACGAUACGAUGGCACCGUAAACUUCUACAGGGCGUUGUCUGAAUACACGCAAGGUUUUGGUAGAGUAGACAAAGAACAUUGGUUAGGGAAUAUGAAGAUUCAUCGUAUAACGCAAGAUGGAACACACGAACUUAGUGUUCACCUAGAAGAUUGGAAUGGAAAUCAACGACAAGCAAACUAUUCACAAUUUUCGGUUGGCUCCGGAAAAUCAUACACCUUUAGUGCUUCGGGAUACUCCGGUAACGCAGGAGACUCAUUAAAUUAUCAUCAUGGUAGAUCUUUUUACACUAAAAACAAAUACAACGGGUGUACUCAAAAUCAUAACGACUUCGGGUGGUACGAUGACUGUUAUCAUUCAAACCUAAAUGGGAAAUACAACGGGACAGGAGAAACAGGGAUUGUUUGGAGUGGCUUUGGAGAUGGUUCAUUAAAAGCAUCAAUGAUGAUGAUAAGAAGACGGUAGUUGGAUUUAAGAAUAUUAACUAAAGUCCGUUUUAGCUGCUUAUAUUUAAGAGCAUAACAUGUUCACGGUUAGAACAAUUUGAAAUAAACUGCAAUGAUCAGUGACUCACUAUUUUCUUUUUACACUUAUUCAGUGUUGAUUA